rnacentral:rRNA from 1 species
UACGGAGGGGGCAAGCGUUGUUCGGAAUCACUGGGCGUAAAGGGCGCGUAGGCGGGAUGGCAAGUCAGUCGUGAAAUCUCUCGGCUCAACCGAGAAACGUCGGCUGAUACUGCCGUUCUUGAGGGAUGCAGAGGAGACUGGAAUUCCCGGUGUAGCGGUGAAAUGUGUAGAGAUCGGGAGGAACACCGGUGGCGAAGGCGGCCUGCUGGGCAGUUUAGCUGACACUGAGGCGCGACAGCGUGGGGAGCAAACAGG